AGCAGCCGCGGUAAUUCCAGCUCCAAUAGCGUAUAUUAAAGUUGUUGCAGUUAAAAAGCUCGUAGUUGAAUUUCGGGAUCAAGUCGUCGGUCGUGCUUAGGUACGUACUGGCGUCAUUGAUUUCUCCCUUCUGACGAACCAUGAUGUCAUUAAUUUGGUGUUAUGGGAAAUCAGGACUGUUACUUUGAAAAAAUUAGAGUGUUUAAAGCAGGCUCACGCUUGAAUACAUUAGCAUGGAAUAAUGAAAUAGGACGUUCGAUCCUAUUUUGUUGGUUUUAGGAUCAACGUAGUGAUUAAUAGGGAUAGUUGGGGGCAUUAGUAUUCAAUUGUCAGAGGUGAAAUUCUUGGAUUUAUUGAAGACUAACUACUGCGAAAGCAUUUGCCAAGGAUGUUUUCAUUAAUCAAGAACGAAAGUUAGGGGAUCGAAGACGAUCAGAUACCGUCGUAGUC
rnacentral:rRNA from 1 species